rnacentral:rRNA from 1 species
GACGAACGCUGGCGGCGUGCUUAACACAUGCAAGUCGAACGGAAAGGCCCUGCUUUUGUGGGGUGCUCGAGUGGCGAACGGGUGAGUAACACGUGAGUAACCUGCCCUUGACUUUGGGAUAACUUCAGGAAACUGGGGCUAAUACCGGAUAGGAGCUCCUGCUGCAUGGUGGGGGUUGGAAAGCUUCGGCGGUUGGGGAUGGACUCGCGGCUUAUCAGCCUGUUGGUGGGGUAGUGGCUUACCAAGGCUUUGACGGGUAGCCGGCCUGAGAGGGUGACCGGCCACAUUGGGACUGAGAUACGGCCCAGACUCCUACGGGAGGCAGCAGUGGGGAAUAUUGCACAAUGGGCGGAAGCCUGAUGCAGCAACGCCGCGUGCGGGAUGACGGCCUUCGGGUUGUAAACCGCUUUCGCCUGUGACGAAGCGUGAGUGACGGUAAUGGGUAAAGAAGCACCGGCUAACUACGUG